CAAUUUCACCUCAGGUGGGGAGGACACCUUCUCAAGGUGUCAACUACAAUGUUUCAGGACAUUCUGAUGUUGAAUUACAAAAUAAGAGCCCCCCAAACUCGAAUAUUAGAUGUUUUGUUUACACAUUCAGAAAAUCAUAAAAAUAAAAGUCCUAGCUUCCACAGACCAAUUUCACCUCAGAUGGAGA